GGCGAUGGCCGAGCGGCUUAGGCAACGACCUGAAAAAUCGUUUUAGGUGGGUUCGACUCCCAUUCGCUCCA
rnacentral:tRNA from 2 species